rnacentral:siRNA from 1 species
UUGGGCACUAUCACAAAUUCCUAC